rnacentral:rRNA from 1 species
UACGGGGGGGGCAAGCGUUGUUCGGAAUUACUGGGCGUAAAGGGUUCGUAGGUGGUCAACUAAGUCAGACGUGAAAUCCCUCAGCUUAACUGGGGAACUGCGUCUGAUACUGGUGGACUUGAGUGCAGGAGAGGAACGCGGAAUUCCAGGUGUAGCGGUGAAAUGCGUAGAUAUCUGGAGGAACACCGGUGGCGAAGGCGGCUCGCUGGGCCGUUGCUGACGCUGAGGCGCGAAAGCGUGGGGAGCAAACAGG